rnacentral:rRNA from 1 species
CAGUCGCCACGGUAAUACGAAGGGUGCAAGCGUUAAUCGGAAUUACUGGGCGUAAAGCGUGCGCAGGCGGUUGUGUAAGACAGGUGUGAAAUCCCCGGGCUUAACCUGGGAACUGCGCUUGUGACUGCACAGCUAGAGUAUGGCAGAGGGGGGUGGAAUUCCACGUGUAGCAGUGAAAUGCGUAGAGAUGUGGAGGAACACCGAUGGCGAAGGCAGCCCCCUGGGCCAAUACUGACGCUCAUGCACGAAAGCGUGGGGAGCAAGCAGGAUUAGAGACCCCAGUAGUCCCUGUCUCUUAUAC